GACGAACCGAGCGACCGUUAUUCGGAAUCACUGGGCUUAAAGGGUGCGUAGGCGGGCUGUCAAGUCUGGGGUGAAAUCCGGCAGCUUAACUGUCGAACUGCCUUAGAUACUGAUGGCCUCGAGGGAGGUAGGGGCAUGCGGAACUGUAGGUGGAGCGGUGAAAUGCGUUGAUAUCUACAGGAACUCCGGUGGCGAAAGCGGCGUGCUGGACCUUUUCUGACGCUGAGGCACGAAAGCUAGGGGAGCAAACGGG
rnacentral:rRNA from 1 species